AAGAAGUCAGGCCAGAUUAAGCCAUAGUACGGAAAGAGCUAUGCUGCCUGUGAGC
rnacentral:lncRNA from 1 species